GUUUCAGAUAGAUAUUGUUGUGUGACAGAAAUGUCUCGAGUUCAAGUUAACAUUCUCUAUUGCGGUGCAUGAGGGUACAGAAGUAAGGCCAAUCGGCUAAUCAGUGACAUCAAAAAUGAGUUCGCUAGCUAUGGAAUCGAAUUUGAUUCCGAGGGCACUCCGAGAGCGACUGGCUACUUCGAGGUCUCAGUAAACGGAGAACUUGUUCACUCCAAGAAGUAUACACUGUCUGGCAAUCCAUGGGCUAAACUCCUCAGUUUUACGAGUUUUUCAGGGAAGGGCGACGGCUACGUUGACAGCGAGAAGAAACUGAAGAAGAUCUUCUCAGCUGUGGAAGUGGCACUGGGGUUGAAGGAGUAGAAGAGAGGAGAUCAGACUCACAUGGCCGACUGAGAUGAGCUAACUUAAUACACCUCUACUAACAAGUGCCAAGAAACGACAUGAACAGAACAUUACAUUGAACAACAAAGGGCGACGGCUACGUUGACAGCGAGAAGAAACUGAAGAAGAUCUUCUCAGCUGUGGAAGUGGCACUGGGGUUGAAGGAGUAGAAGAGAGGAGAUCAGACUCACAUGGCCGACUGAGAUGAGCUAACUUAAUACACCUCUACUAACAAGUGCCAAGAAACGACAUGAACAGAACAUUACAUUGAACAACACUGAGAAGCAUAGAAAUGACGUCUGCAUGCAGAAAGGUUACUAUUUGACCCCUCUGCAGACUGACACGGAAUAACCGAUCAGAAAUGGCUGGAUUCUGUUGCUCCGAAGUGUUAAGUUCAAUGUACUGGACUGUACCAUGUGCUAGUUUGUUAAGUUUGUAAAUUAAUCAUAGAAAUUGAUAUCAUAUGUUGAACGCCGUUUACUCCCAUGUACAGGAAGAGUUUCACCGAUCAUUCAAACUCAAUCGGAACAUUACUAAUUAAUUUUCAGCAUAUUUGAAGUCAAGUCGGUUUUGUAAUUUUCUUAUUUUGCGGGUAUUGAUUAUUGUUAUUUUAUGCUUGAUAUUUUAUCAGCAAAUCCGAAAUUUUAGACCAUGACCUUAAUUGAUAAAUGUCCAUUGAAUGCGAGUAAACCGGCUAAAGGUCACUGAUGCUAAUUUAGAAGUCAUUCGAUAGAUAGAAUUUGCUCAACCUGUUUCCACUUUCACGUAUGAACUUUCUAAGCUGCGUUUAAUUGAAGUUGUUUUGAAGUCAAAAAUGAAUCAACUUAAACAUGCAUUCAUUCGAAAUUAUAAAAUAUGAUGAAAAAGCUAAUUUAUUUUAUUUGAGAUAAAACGAAUUAUAAUGAGUUUAGUUUGUGUUCAUACCGUGUUCAUCUGAGGCAUUCAUGUUAGAACUAUUUUGAAAUACAAAUUCAUUUUAACUCAUC